CGGCACGCCUAACCAUGCAAGUCGAACGAAGUAGCAAUACUUAGUGGCAGACGGGUGAGUAACAUGUAGGUAUCUGCCCUUUGGCCUGGAAUAACACGAGGAAACUUGUGCUAAUACCGGAUAAGUCUUUACGGAGAAAGCUUUAUGCACCAUUGGAUGAGCCUGCACUUGAUUAGUUUGUUGGUGGGGUAAUGGCCUACCAAGACUGUGAUCAAUAGCUGAUUUGAGAGGAUGAUCAGCCACAUUGGGACUGAGACACGGCCCAAACUCCUACGGGAGGCAGCAGUGGGGAAUCUUGCACAAUGGAGGAAACUCUGAUGCAGCGAUGCCGCGUGAGUGAAGAAGGCCCUUGGGUUGUAAAGCUCUUUCGUCGGGGAAGAAAAUGACUGUACCCGAAUAAGAAGGUCCG
rnacentral:rRNA from 1 species